AGUGAACGCUGGCGGCAGGCUUAACACAUGCAAGUCGAACGGCAGCACAGUAAGAGCUUGCUCUUACGGGUGGCGAGUGGCGGACGGGUGAGGAAUACAUCGUAAUCUACUUUUUCGUGGGGGAUAACGUAGGGAAACUUACGCUAAUACCGCAGACGACCUUCGGGUGAGAGCAGGGGAUCGUCGGACCUGGCGCGAUUGAAUGAGCCGAUGACGGAUUGGCUAGUUGGCGGGGUAAUGGCCAACCAGGUCGACGAUCCGUUGCUGGUCAGAGUGGAUGGUCGGCCGCACGGGAACUGAGACACGGUCCAGACUCCUAAGGGAGGGAGCAGUGGGGAAUGUGAGACAGUAGGCGGAAGCAUGAUCCAGCCGUACCACGUGGGUGAAAGAAGCGUUCGGGUUGUAAAGCCCUUUUGUGGGUAAAGAACAGCAGCAGGUUAAUACGCAGCUGUUCUGACGGUACCCGAUGAAGAAGCACCGGCUAACUUCGUG
rnacentral:rRNA from 1 species